rnacentral:piRNA from 1 species
UGACAGACAAACAUAAGCAGAUUGUGUAUG